ensembl:misc_RNA 7SK 7SK RNA
GGAUGUGAGGGCGAUCUGGCUGCGACAUCUGUCACCCCAUUGAUCGCCAGGGUUGAUUUGGCUGAUCUGGCUGGUUAGGCUGGUGUCCCCUUCCUCCCUCACCACACCAUGUGCGUCCCUCCCGAAGCUGCGCGCUCGGUCGAAGAGGACGACCAUCCCCGCUAGAGGAGGACCGGUCUUCUGUCAAGGGUAUACGAGUAGCUGCGCUCUCCUGCUAGAACCUCCAAACAGGCUCUAAAGUUCCAGAAAUGACUUCAUUGCUGUAAGUCAGAGACACACCCCGGAGCCACAGCUCUGAG